rnacentral:rRNA from 1 species
GACGAACGCUGGCGGCGUGCUUAACACAUGCCAGUCGAACGGAAAGGCCCUGCUUUUGUGGGGUGCUCGAGUGGCGAACGGGUGAGUAACACGUGAGUAACCUGCCCUUGACUUUGGGAUAACUUCAGGAAACUGGGGCUAAUACCGGAUAGGAGCUCCUGCUGCAUGGUGGGGGUUGGAAAGUUUCGGCGGUUGGGGAUGGACUCGCGGCUUAUCCGCUUGUUGGUGGGGUAGUGGCUUACCAAGGCUUUGACGGGUAGCCGGCCUGAGAGGGUGACCGGCAACAUUGGGACUGAGAUACGGCCCAGACUCCUACGGGGGGCAGCAGUGGGGAAUAUUGCACAAUGGGCGGAAGCCUGAUGCAGCAACGCCGCGUGCGGGAUGACGGCCUCCGGGUUGUAAACCGCUUUCGCCUGUGACGAAGCGUGAGUGACGGUAAUGGGUAAAGAAGCACCGGCUAACUACGUG